UCCUUUUGUAUAUAAUUUAAGGUCUAGCCUGCCCACUGAAAUUUUAAAUGGCCGUGGUAUUUUGACCGUGCUAAGGUAGCAUAAUCAUUAGUUUUUUAAUUAAAAACUGGAAUGAAAGGUUGGAUGAGAAAAUAGCUGUCUCUAUUAAAUUUAAUUAGAAUUUUAUUUUUAAGUUAAAAAGCUUAAUUAUUAUUAAAAGACGAGAAGACCCUAUAGAGUUUAAUUAUUUAGUAAAAAUUAUAUUUUAGUAUUAAUUUAUUUACUUUAUUAAAUAAUUUAAUUGGGGUGAUUGAAAAAUUUAAUUAACUUUUUUUAUUUAAGAACAUUAAUUUAUGAAUAAAUGAUCCAAUAUUUUUGAUUAUAAGAUAAAAUUACCUUAGGGAUAACAGCGUAAUUUUUUUAGAAAGUUCAUAUUAAAAAAAAAGAUUGCGACCUCGAUGUUGGAUUAAAAUAAAUUUUUGGUGUAGAAGCUAAAAUAUUAGGUCUGUUCGACCUUUAAAAUUUUACAUGAU
rnacentral:rRNA from 1 species